CCUGCCCUCAGCUCUGAGUUAUCAUGGAGGAAUGGAAAUAAUCUGCAAGAUAUUGAAACACAGGGCAUGAGAAAGGUUUCAUCUUGCUGAUUACAGUUUUGUUGCUCUAAUUAAUAUCAAACAGAAGCUUACCUAUUUCCUUCAGCAAGGACACAUCAAUCUAUACCAGUGUCCACUGUCACAAUCCAGAGAGAAGAUUUUGGAAGCUUGAUAAACCAGCCAAUGAAAUUGUUAUGUGCAAAGGAGUUGUAGUUCACAAUACUGUAGGCAGCCAACACGUUGUAUGAUAACCUUCAGGUGGCAACAUAAACUACAACGGAUAAACUUCAUCAGGUCAACUGAUCACA